GCUGGCGUAGCUCAGUUAGCAGAGCAGCUGUUUCGUAAACAGCAGGCCGGGGGUGCAAUUCCUCUCGCCAGCU
rnacentral:tRNA from 1 species